AGUUUAUGUAUUCUUUUUUUAUUUUUUUAACCUUUUAUAACGGCUCUAUUUCUACACAAACGCAUAUCGAUGACUUCAGUUUACUACAAAUAAUAUUUUAAUAUUAACAUGCGGUACUUACGGGAUCGGCUUUUGGCACGGGUAGCUUUGCUUUAUUAGCAGGUGGUUUCUUUGCCACUGCUGCCAUGUUAAAUUCGUUAAAUAAUAAAAGUGCCACAAUACAAUUUAAGACUUACAAAUAAUUUACUGUCAAAAUUAAAUCACAAUUUCACCACAGUUGCAUCGUCAUUAUCAAAAAUAUUAAAUCAUUGUUCACUUAUCACAACACGAAUAUGAACACAAUUUUUUGUAUUAUUUUUUAAAUCAUUUUCUUCAUUUUUGCACAUGCUUAAAAUAACUAGAUUAAAUUUAUCAAUUUAAAAUUCGUUUUUUGCAGCAAAUCUAUUUCUAAUUGGAUAGGUUUCGGCUUCGGACAGUUCGAUAAAUGUUGUUCCAUCUAAAAAUGGGCGCGAAUCUCAAAAGACUGAAAGGGGUGGCGACACGAUCGCCUUGCUAUGGAAUAGGCGGGGACGGGGAGAGCGGGUUUCUAUUUGUGCACAGCACAAAUCAGCAGACCAAUCCAAUUAAUUAUCAGAUUAAGGUGAGCAUCCGUGUGUACUUGGAUGCUGUUAACAUACGUGUGAAGUUGUCCUCAGUCGGUACCUAUCUUAAUGUAAGCGAUAAAUUUAUGCAGUAGAUCGCUUAUUUGAGACUGACACAGUGGUCUCAUAUGUUUGUAUUUUUAUUUUUUUAUAAUUUAAGAUUCAUUUAUAUCUGCACCUGAAAUAAGAUAUUCUUUACGGUGCAUACUUAGUGAUAAAUAUAGAACAGUCUACACAACUUUUCAAUAUGUGGUCACACUGUAAUCAGGAGUACAGUAUCCAUGCCAAGAUUUGCCGAGAUAUCAUUGCAGCCCACGACUAGGGCGGACAGCCCACGCGCUUCGAGUAAGGUAUGUACCUGCUCUAUAUCUAUCUGUCAAUCACAUUUAUGUGUAUUCUUGUCUAUUUGCAGGUUGACCUUGUUUUUAAUAAUACCAUUGUCUAAUUAUGUGGCGCUACGAAAUGUGUACUAGAAUUUUUAGCUCGAUAACAUUUCAUUUAUAAUUUAAUGAUUCAUCAAUUAGAAAUUCUUUGGCUGUUAGUUUAACUUUGGUAUUUUUUAAAACUUCACCAAUUGAACUUUGUAUUUCAUCUAGUUUGCAUGUAAUUUAUUUUUCACACCUUACAAUUCAUUAGUUACAUAUACAUUUCAUUCAAGCUAUAUAUAUUUUUAUUUAUUAUUUGAAAAAAAUCUUUAUCCUCAACAUCAUUAUCUGCCUAUUUAACGGUACGCUAUAAGGCCAUGCCAUCUGCGUUAUAGGAUAUGCAGAUAUGUAAGCUUAGUGAAAGAUAUUUACCGCGACUGUAAAUAUUCGAAAAAAUAUGUACCACUCGGACUCCACUUUUUUUGAGAAAGAAUACAAUGAGAAACUUAAGCUAACUUAUCCUAAUAACUAUACAAAUCUU
rnacentral:lncRNA from 1 species